AAUCAACGCUGGCGGCGUGCCUCAGACAUGCAAGUCGAACGAUUAAGACUUCCUUCGGGAAGUGCAUAAAGUGGCGCACGGGUGAGUAACACGUAAGUAAUCUACCCUCGAGUGGGGAAUAACGUUCGGAAACGGACGCUAAUACCGCAUAACGCAGCGGCACCGCAAGGUGACAGUUGUUAAAGGAGCAAUCCGCUUGAGGAGGAGCUUGCGGCAGAUUAGCUAGUUGGUAGGGUAAUGGCUUACCAAGGCUACGAUCUGUAUCCGGUCUAAGAGGACGGUCGGACACACUGACACUGAAUAACGGGUCAGACUCCUACGGGAGGCAGCAGUCGGGAAUUUUGGGCAAUGGGCGAAAGCCUGACCCAGCAACGCCGCGUGAAGGAUGAAGUAUUCGGUAUGUAAACUUCGAAAGAAUAGGAAGAAUAAAUAGACGGUACUAUUUAUAAGACUCCGGCUAACUACGUG
rnacentral:rRNA from 1 species